GUCGAUUAAUUGUUGCAUAAAUAGCAAUUAGUACAACUAUUGGAAAUUAAGUCGGCUAUAUCCAUUUGCCGUAUGUGUCUUAAACGUAUCUAAGGAUAUAGCCGUUUUAUGGACUUAUGGAUCUUUGAUCAAAUGAACGGGCCCAUAUACCUCAAGCUGUGUUUCCCAUACGUAACCGUGUUAAAUCUAGGUAUGGAGAAAUCACUUACAUUCCUAAGAUUGUAAUUGCUGGUGUUGUGUUUGAAAAGAUUACAUACAUCAGAGGGUGCUAGAUUAUUGUUCACUUUAUACAUAACUAUUUAAAAAAUUUUGUCUCUACAGAAUUUUAUUUAAAUUGGCAGUUGUGUAACUUUUGUGCGACAAUUCAAACUCUUUAAAUGUUUAUCAACAAGUAAUAAUUGUCCAAAAAUACGCAUCUAAAUCGUGAAUUUUCCAUUUUUUCAAAAACUGUAUUGAGCCACCUUAAACAUUCAUUUCUUUUGUAUUUUCCUCAUGCAUUAUUAUACAGGUUAAAGGCCAAGGGAGCGGUGUUUAUACUGUACAUUACACAACUGCACGCAACAUAUACUUGGGUUGGAUCAUUAACACAGGGUUGAUGACUGAAAAAAAUCCCGAACCCAAUAGAAAGUAGCAGUUGAAAGUAGCAUCUUAAAAUGUAAGCGUUGUAUAAAAAAACGUGAUAAUCUGUAUUUUGCCUUUGUAACAGGGCGACGGCAACGUCUAAUCUAAAUCUAUCUUAAUUGUUCAUUCCUGUUCAUUUUCUUCUAUCAAUAUGAUAUUAUUAUGACUUUCGUCCGGCCUGUUUAAGUUCUUAAUAACAAUAGUUCUUUAAAAUUUUAAAAGUGUAAAAUUCAAGGCUGUUUUUUGUAACGUGUCCGUACUAGAUUACGCUUUGCUCAAGUUCGCUUAUAGCAAGCCUUAAAGGGGCAAUGUCACCGAUUUUAGAGCAAUUCUAUAUAACCCUCGCAAAUUUUGCCCAAAACUGAAAAAGAAUGAGUGUAAGCACAAAAUAAAGCAAUAACAGAAACAAAAAACAGAAGUCUGGAUGGGCAAGAUUACGCCAGGAUUGAGAUGGAUUGUAAAUGGCAUCUUGAUUAAUUGUUGGCAGACACUUU